rnacentral:lncRNA from 1 species
GUCCUUCAUUAUGUGAUGGAGAUUCAGUUACUCUUAAAGGAACUCUGAAUCCUGCUGCCUGAUGAAGUUCCAAUCUUCUAGUUGGAAAGGAGUAACAUAGAUGUUUAAGACACAUGCAGCUUAGAUGUAACACGUAAUAAAGUGUUGCCUUGCUAGGCAAACGUAUGAGAAUGAUGAAUUCAGUAGUACACGGGAAGAGGUCAGAUGCUGCAUUGGUAUCUUCCAUGAGCAAGGAAAUGCUGAACUUCAGCUCAGUAUAUCACUACUGAAGCUGUGCCCGGCCAUGAGAGAUGACAAGCAGUUGCUACCAGCCAAGGUAUUCCUGCAAAAGCAAAAGUACAUUUUGUGCAGGGUUAGAAGAUGAUGGGCUUGAUUAUGCUUAUGCCC